GAAUCUGGACCGCCGCGACCAGGAUUACCCGAAGGACCCCAUGUCUCCGUGACUACAAGAACAGCUGCCUGACAGGACAGCGUUUGCGUAGGUGGUUGCCAGGGGAACCCGGACGUUCUACGGACCAUGUGAUCGGUGCUGGGUUAUGACGUCAUCUAAUCACACACAGGGAAGUAAGCACGUCUUUCCCUGAUUGAUUGCUGCACCUCCCGCAGGCGGGACCUCGCUACACAUAAAGUUUAUUGAGCAACAUUGUGAUGUCAAAUAAAAAGAAUUGUUGCUAUACGAUCGGUGGAAAAAUCGAAUCUAAGAAGAUUGCGCUGCGUGAUGACGUCACUACAUAACGCCGCCACCGGGGGAACACCAGGGCUGGACGGCGCCUGUACGGUGUGGAACGACGUCACCUUACAGCGCUGUGGUGAGGGUGAGAUCCAUGCUGGAGGCAUCUGGAAGGUGCAUGGUGACGUCACCAGGGCGUGCAGUCGCCGGGAAGAUGCCCACCUCUGGAGGCGGUCACUUGGUGAAGGGGUGUUUAAAAGCCCUGAGUGCCGCACCUUUGGCUGACUAUACUGUAUCCUGAUACUGUGAGGGCACCGGGUUAAGUUAAUUUUGAUGGAGUGCCGGACUAAUUGCCAUACAUACUAAGAUUGAGUCAUCCACUGAAUCUGGUCAAGACACCCACACAAGAAGAAAAAUUCCUUGUUGAAAACAUCUUUCUGCUUUAUUCUGUGGGGCAAAGUGGGCCCUCUGAACUCUGGCAUCUGAGCCCCGAUAUCUGGAUAGGCUCGAAGCUGCGGACUGGAUUUCCAGACUCCCAAAUCAUCAUCUGCUGUGACCAGGCUGACACUGCUGCCUGCUGGGCCUGACUGACCCCUUGCUGUCUGCCGCUUACCUGAGAUGGCUCCUCUGUCAUUGGGGUCUGCCUGUGGAGCACGCUCAGGGGACGGGACGGGCGGCCUGGUUAUCAUGGUAACCUGACGCGGCGCUCCUGAUGACGUGAUUGGAAGGCGCUGGGGGCUGGACCGGACACGCCGGGACUCGGGCAGCACGGGGCACAAUGGCGAGCUGCUCCUAGGGUAUUUAGGUCGCAGCAUAGCUCCGCUGCUCCGUUCAGAACCCGACAAACUACACUCUAAAAGGCUGCCGAACGCCUACAUCACCUCUCUCCCCUGCGGCAUAAAAGUAUACUGAGCCCAGAUGGAGAAGUAUCUGGCUUCCCCGCCCGCCGUCAAGCCGCUACAGCCCAGACAGGAGAAACGCCGCGCUGAACCCAUCAUGGCGCCGGACGCUGACACAGCGCACAGCGUCCCUGCACAUAAGAAAGCUGCUGCAGCAGCUUCAGAAGAUCCUGAUUCUCCUCAGGUCGGUCCUCUUCUCCAGUAGAAUCCAUGGUGUACCUGUUGAAAAAAUUCUACUCACCAAAUCCAGGGUAGAAGGCUCCUCGGAUAAUCCAUUUGUAAUCCACGUACUUGUAAAAAUAAAAAAACGGACACCCGACCACGAACUGAAAGGGGCCCCAUGUUUUCACAUGGGACCCCUUUCCCCGAAUGCCAGAAACCCCCUCUGACUGAUGUCUAAGUGGGUUUCUUCAGCCAAUCAGGGAGUUCCACGUUGUGGCACCCUCCUGAUCGGCUGUGUGCUCCUGUACUGUCUGACAGGCGGCACCCGGCAGUGUUACAAUGUAGCGCCUAUGCGCUCCAUUGUAACCAAUGGUGGGAACUUUGUGGUCAGCGGUUGACCGAAAGUGACCUCACUCUUUGAGGAAGCACCUGUGUGCGAAACGCGUUAGAGAAUUGCCUUUCACCCUGCUAAGUGACCAGCGACAUUAUUAUUUGGGAUCUACCCUGCCGGAUUGGGAGCUAAGGACAACCAACGAGACCUCUCACACACCUGCCGCCCAAGCUGUACCGCAAUCAGAGGAGACGCGGCCAGCCAGGUGGAGAGUCUACUCUGCAAACCGUCCACAUACAAGCGGCCCCAAACACGCUGAGGGUUAGAAACCAUCCAGCACCGCUACCACCACGGAAGACAGACGGGGAGGGAGAAAGCAAACCAUCACCGCUGUGCACGGCGAGGAUCUCCCCAUCACGUCUGUAUCCACGGACAAGGUGGUAAGCGGUUUACUUCAGUGCUAAAACUGUCAGUAUAUGGACUAUGCAUAAUAUAUGAAUAAGAACUGUGGUCAUAUGCAAAAGACUGAGUUCUAACACAACCGGGAAAAACAUCAUUUAAUGUUGUGGAAACUGUGUCUAUAUACAAAGAACUGAGUUUUUCAUCUUUGGAAAAAUACCGUUUAAACACUGCGGGUACAUAAGCUAUGUUGCAUUUAAUUUAGGAGUGGAACUAGUACCAAUUGUCUCUGAUAGGAUUGAGCACUAGAUGUUUAAAACAGAGAAAUAUUACCAUUUUAUUAUCUUUAAAAAUUUUUUUAGAAUGAGCUCAUAAUGA